AACGGGAAUUUCAUCUAUUCAUUCAUUCAUCAGACAGACGAAUGAGUGAAUAGAAAGAUCAGCCGAACAAACAAACACAAUGUAUCAGUGUUAGUUUGUUCGUGCAGGUUAUUACAAGGAGGGAGCUACCGGCGUGCAGCUCCCUCCUUGUAAUAUGUAACUAUUGAAGCGGCAGGGAGCAGUGCUCCCCACCACUUCAUAAGCCCCCC